rnacentral:rRNA from 1 species
UACGGGGGGGGCAAGCGUUGUUCGGAAUUACUGGGCGUAAAGGGCGCGUAGGCGGCCUUCUAAGUCGAACGUGAAAUCCCCGGGCUCGACCCGGGAACUGCGUCCGAUACUGGAAGGCUUGAAUCCGGGAGAGGGAUGCGGAAUUCCAGGUGUAGCGGUGAAAUGCGUAGAUAUCUGGAGGAACACCGGUGGCGAAGGCGGCAUCCUGGACCGGCAUUGACGCUGAGGCGCGAAAGCCAGGGGAGCAAACGGG